rnacentral:rRNA from 1 species
ACGGAGGGUGCAAGCGUUGUUCGGAAUUACUGGGCGUAAAGCGCGUGUAGGCGGCUUGGUAAGUCGGAUGUGAAAUCCCUCGGCUUAACCGAGGACGUGCAUCCGAUACUGCUAGGCUUGAGUCUCGGAGAGGGAAGUGGAAUUCCCGGUGUAGAGGUGAAAUUCGUAGAUAUCGGGAGGAACACCAGUGGCGAAGGCGACUUCCUGGACGAAGACUGACGCUGAGACGCGAAAGCGUGGGGAGCAAACAG